AAGGUCUAACCUGCCCAAUGAGGAUUUAAAUGGCCGCAGUAUUUUGACUGUGCAAAGGUAGCAUAAUUAUUAGUUUUUUAAUUGAAAGCUUGUAUGAAGGGUUGGACGAGAUAAAAUCUGUCUCUAUUUAAUUUAAAGUAGAAUUUAACUUUUGAGUCAAAAGGCUCAAAUAAUUAUAAAAGACGAGAAGACCCUAUAGAUCUUUAUUUAAUUAAUAUUUUAAUAAUUUAGGAUUAAUUUAGUUUAAAGUUUUAAUUAAAUUUUAUUGGGGUAAUAUAAAGAUUAAAUAAAUUCUUUUUAUUUAUUACAUUGAUUUAUGAAUUUGUGAUCCAAUAUUAUUGAUUAUAAGAUUAAGUUACCUUAGGGAUAACAGCGUAAUUUUUUUGGAGAGCUCAUAUCGAUAAAAAAGUUUGCGACCUCGAUGUUGGAUUAAAAGUUAGCUUGGGUGCAGAAGCUCAAGAUUUUGGUCUGUUCGACCAUUAAAUUUUUACAUGAUCUGAGUUCAGACCGGCGUAAGCCAGGUCGGUUUCUAUCUUUAUUUAGAUAAAAUAUUUUAGUACGAAAGGACCAAGUAUUUAAUAUAUUUAUAUUUGAUUUUUGAACAAUAUUAUUACUUUGGCAGAUUAGUGCAAUGAAUUUAGAAUUCAUGAAUGUAAUUAUAUUACAAGUAAUACUUGUAUUUAGGAGAUUUACUUUCAAUGGUACUUUGUAUAUUAAUUCUCGUGAUUUGUGUAUUAGUUGGGGUUGCUUUUUUAACAUUGUUGGAGCGAAGGGUAUUAGGUUAUAUUCAGAUUCGGAAGGACCUAAUAAGGUAGA
rnacentral:rRNA from 1 species